CAAACCCGCAACCUGCAAGAUCAUGACCUGAGCUGAAGUCAGAGGCUUAACCAACUGAGCCACCCAGUGCCCAAUUUUCUACAGUUUAAGGUCAGUGGUUCUUAGUUCUGGACCUCAACUGUGAAGAAUCCAUGACCUCACAGAGUUCCCUUGAUGCCUAUGGGAAAAGAGCGCUUCUAAUCUUACCAAAGUUAAAUAAGCUAUUCCAUAAGAAUGUAUAGUAUAUUCCUUUUGUAGCUAUCAUUAGCAUUUUUUUUUAAAUUGCCACCAAAGAUUCCAUCUUGACACAUGGGAGCCAAAGAGAAGGGGUACAUGUCAUGUCUUGUUUGACAAAGGAUUCCUCCACCUUAGGAAGCUGUUCCUGCCUCCUCAGAGCACUGACUCAGUGAAAGAAUGGCCACAACAAGCACAGGAAUAUGGUUUCUCUCCACUAGGAAUCCGCUGAUGGGGCCGAAGGAUUUUCUGAAGUUCUUCCGAGUGCCCAGAGGAUGGUGGUUCUAAGUCGCCAUGCUAUAAGUCCGACUGGGAACCACAAGUGACAGAGGCUCCUACAGUGGUUUCCCUUUGUGAGUGGUAGUCAGUUUCAUCAGUUUCCUGAGUUCCACCGGAAGCACUUGCCUACCUGAGGG